CCCUCUUCUCUGUUUUGGCCUUGGUGAUUCAUCAUUAGGUUUGAUUACUACACUAAUCUUACAUUGUACACUUGGCAUGUUUCCCAGUUUGACCUAGGGGAGUUCUAUGGUUAAAUGAAUCUUUUUGGCCAACAAAUGUCUGGAUCCUAACUUGUGUACAUGCUGUACCCCACUGCAUUCUGAAUUUCCCCCAACAACAUACCUUUAGUUGGUUGUCGUGUGAAUUUGAAAUCCGAUUACCACAUUGUUAGUUUGAGGAUGAUUUAUGAUGGUUCUAUAUACAAGUAUGAUUUAGUGCUUUAAUCUGAUGGUAUUGGUUAGCGAUACAUCAUCAAUUCAUCAUUGACAAAAAAAAUGAAAGCACAGUAGAAAAAAUAUAAACAUGCUAUCCCGUGUCUGUUCUUGUAUGAAUGUGUGGCCGCAGAGUCAUUGGAUAUUAGAUAAUAUGCUAGCAUGUAUGGAACUCCCCAUGUAUAGAGAUAAAUUGAUCUGACUUGGGUAAUGUAAUAUUUGAUCUCACUUGUCAGUAGUAUCCUCCGUGAUUCAUUUGGAGUCCACGCGUGAUGGGAUUCUUACAUUUGGUACUAUUGCUUGUCUCCCAGUAAGACUUAAGAGAGGUUUAUGGUUAAAUGAAUCUUUAGUUGAUCAACAAGUGCCUGAAUCCAACCUUGUGUGCCUUUUUUGUCCAAAUGAUUUCCUUGGUAAUGGUAUAUCAAGUACGAAGGGGAGCCUUGGUGCAGCAAUAAAGCUAUUGCCUUGUAAUCAUGAGGUCACGGGUUCAAGUCCUGGAAACAGCCUCUUGCAGAAAUGUAUGGAAAGGCUGCAUACUGUAGACCCAAAGUGGUCGGACCCUUCCCCGGACCCCGCGCAAGCAGGAGCUACGUGCACCGGGCUGCCCUUUUUUGGAACUGGAGGGGAUACUGGAGACCGUGAACCCGCAGUCGCCAUCACUUGAAGUUUGAUCUUCGAGAGGGCGGAGUGAUCGCGAACGAGAAGACUGCCAGUGUGAACUUAGGGUGCACGUCAAUGGAUGUGCUGAUGCUGGCCGUGGCCUCAUGUGCUCGUGCGGCUGGAGGCUCUGUGGCCCCUCCCUUGAGCCUCUCCUUCGGUUUCUGUUAUGUGGCAUCGUCUACAACUCUGAUGGGACCUGACUUCAUGGUGAGGAUGGUGCUGGAGGAACUGGUGGGGAUACUGGAGACCGUUGACCCGCAGCAGCCAUCGCUUGAAGCUUGAUCUUCCAGAUGGUGGAGCGAUCCCGAAUGAGAAGACUACCAGCGUGAACUUGGGGUGCACAGUGUCAAUGGAUGUGGUGAUGCUGGCCGUGGCCUCAUGUGCUCGUGUGGUUGGAGGCUCUGUGGGCCCCUUGAGCCUCUCCUCCGGCUUCUGUUAUUUUGGCUCCUCCUGCCGUGUGAUGUUCGGCAUCGUCUACAAGUCUGAUGGGAGAUCAAAGCUGAAUGGGAAAAAACCGGCAAGUCACAGGCUGAGGGAGGGGAAGUCGAUACACGCCACAUGUAGAUGUGAUAUUGGAUGAUGGAUAUGUGUUAUCAUAUCGAUCAAAUUGUCUCCUGUUUGGUGUUGACUGAAGAAGAGGACAGUUUCUAUGAGGUGCAACCAUGGAUAUCACCAUGAUUCUGCUUGAUGCCAAGGACUAGGACGCCGACAUACGGUCUGCAUCAGAAGGUGUUGAUUGAUCUUUCCGGCUCCCUGAUGGGUGAUGAGCUUUCUGGGCUGUCUAGGAAAAUCCCUAUUUAAUUGGUCACCCCCACGAGUGAAGAGCGGAUCCUCUUUGCUGCAAUCUUCAGUACUUAUUGGAAUUAGAAGCAGUGUUUCCCCUUGGUGAUUGCCUCUUUGAAGGGCAUGAUCGAGCUGCUGCGGUUGUUGUUUGUUUUGCUCGUUCCUGGGACGAUGCAUAUGUUUUUGGAGAAAUAGUGUGGUUUUUCCAUUUCUAUUUUAUUAUGGACGUGCGGAUCAAUCUAUUUAUCAGCCAAUGAAUGUAUGUAGGCUGAUGAGAAUUAUUGGCUGACAUGUUGCUAUGCAUUUGAAAGAUGAAAUCAAACCAAUCUUCCCAGUUGAUGGUC